rnacentral:rRNA from 1 species
UGGGGAAUCUUGCGCAAUGGACGAAAGUCUGACGCAGCCACGCCGCGUGAGUGAAGAAGGCCUUCGGGUUGUAAAGCUCUGUCGGAAGGGACAAAAACCAUCAUGGUUAAUAGCCAUGGUGCUUGAUGGUACCUUUAAAGGAAGCACCGGCUAACUUCGUGCCAGCAGCCGCGGUAAUACGAAGGGUGCAAGCGUUGCUCGGAGUUAUUGGGCGUAAAGGGUAGGUAGGUGGUAAUAAAAGUCUGGGGUGAAAUCCCUGAGCUCAACUCAGGACGUGCCUUGGAAACUUUAUUACUAGAGUGCUGGAGAGGUCCGCAGAAUUCCCGGUGUAGCGGUGAAAUGCGUAGAGAUCGGGAGGAAUACCAGAGGCGAAGGCGGCGGACUGGACAGUCACUGACACUCAACUACGAAAGCGUGGGUAGCAAACAGG